CGAAGACGAUCAGAUACCGUCCUA
rnacentral:siRNA from 1 species